rnacentral:rRNA from 1 species
GUGUCAGCAGCCGCGGUAAUACGUAGGGUGCAAGCGUUAAUCGGAAUUACUGGGCGUAAAGGGUGCGCAGGCGGUUCUGUAAGUCAGAUGUGAAAUCCCCGGGCUUAACCUGGGAACUGCGUUUGAAACUACAGAGCUAGAGUGUGGCAGAGGGGGGUGGAAUUCCAUGUGUAGCAGUGAAAUGCGUAGAGAUAUGGAAGAACAUCGAUGGCGAAGGCAGCCCCCUGGGUUAACACUGACGCUCAUGCACGAAAGCGUGGGGAGCAAACAGGAUUAGAUACCCGGGUAGUCC